UCAACGGCUCCCUUCAAUCGUCCGCAACGGCUACUUGAUUUUUUUUUUGAAUUUCAUCUAUUCUUCCCCAAAAAUCAGUCCUAUUUGCUCUCUCUCUAUAUAUAAGCCCGUCUCCAGUCCUCCAUCAAUCAAGGGAUUACGAAAAAGUGAAUACAAAAGCUAAAAUCAAAGAAAGAAUCCAUCAAUUUCUUUUUAGACCUUGAUUUCGGAAAUCGGAAUUCGUUGAAGCUCCCCGCUUGUUGUGGUGAAGUCGCUGCUCCAAGUUCGUUCCCUUCAGAAGGUGAAGCUGCUUUUAUCCUAGAAUGAAAAAAUCUUGUCCACUGGUUGUGUAGACGUGCCUUUGACUACAAAGGGUGUGGAAGCUGCCGUUGAAGCUGGAAAACGAAUUAGCAAUAUAACCUAUCGACAUGAUCUAUACUUCUACUUUGAUUCGUGCUCAAAUGACUGCCAUGCUUGCAUGACAGCAGUGCCGCAAUAAGGGUCCAAAAAAGAAAGUUGUAUGUGCAUAUAACGAAUAUGUUAUUGUUUCAUGGAUUGGCUGUGACACGCAACAAAUUUCCAUCUUGCAUUAGAGGUUCAGAGAGAAAUGGUUGUGGAUCCCUUGGCGCUUUUCUCUCUGAAUGUUAUUGGAAGGUGCAAGAAGAUGGCUUUUAUUUUGGAGGCCGUCAAGAUGCUCAAUUUGAGAAGCGAUACUCAUGGUAAUGAAUUAAUGUAUAUAU